rnacentral:rRNA from 1 species
UCAGUCGACUCCUACGGGGAGGCAGCAGUGGGGAAUAUUGCACAAUGGGGGAAACCCUGAUGCAGCCAUGCCGCGUGUGUGAAGAAGGCCUUCGGGUUGUAAAGCACUUUCAGUAGGGAGGAAGGUAGUGUAGUUAACACCUGCAUUAUUUGACGUUACCUACAGAAGAAGCACCGGCUAACUCCGUGCCAGCAGCCGCGGUAAUACGGAGGGUGCGAGCGUUAAUCGGAAUUACUGGGCGUAAAGCGCAUGCAGGCGGCCUGUUAAGUCAGAUGUGAAAGCCCGGGGCUUAACCUCGGAAUUGCAUUUGAAACUGGCAGGCUAGAGUCUUGUAGAGGGGGGUAGGAAUUUCAGGUGUAGCGGUGAAAUGCGUAGAGAUCUGAAGGAAUACCAGUGGCGAAGGCGGCCCCCUGGACAAAGACUGACGCUCAGAUGCGAAAGCGUGGGGAGCAAACAGGAUUAGAUACCCCUGGUAG